UUUAUGACUCAAAUAGUGAUUAAGUGGUACUUUGGAUUUGGCUCCCUUUACCCUCAGUGAAUCUGGUGCUAUCAAAAGAUGCCAUUUUAAUAUUAUUUGGAAUACAGGUAGUCUCUGUCUUUAGACAACGGGAAUCGUAUGGAUUCUCCAGUGCAAACUUCUUACACAUUGACUUCUUUAUAUAUUGAGAAUGUAGUCAGACCACAAUGUCCGUUCAGUCCUUGGUCUUGUGGGCUAGGGACAUUCAAAAAGCCUGAGCCUAAAUUGAUUCAGUCUUUUCGGGUUAGUCUAAACUGGCUAUGCUGAACCAGUUUGUAAAUGUAUAGACAUUUCCUGUGGACUGAGGAAAAUGCAGGCACAUGUCUGCAGUGGCUCAGGCUG